UACAGAGGGGGCAAGCGUUGUUCGGAAUUACUGGGCGUAAAGGGCGCGUAGGCGGCCUGCUAAGUCGAGCGUGAAAUCCCCGAGCUCAACUCGGGAACUGCGUCCGAUACUGGCAGGCUUGAAUCCGGGAGAGGGAUGCGGAAUUCCAGGUGUAGCGGUGAAAUGCGUAGAUAUCUGGAGGAACACCUAUGGCGAAAGCAGCUCUCUGGGACGGUACUGACGCUGAGACGCGAAAGCGUGGGGAGCGAACAGG
rnacentral:rRNA from 1 species